CGAACGCUGGCGGCGUGCUUAAGACAUGCAAGUCGUGCGAGAAAGCCGCCUUCGGGCGGUGAGUACAGCGGCGCACGGGUGAGUAACGCGUGGGUAAUCUACCUGUGGGUCUGGGAUAACUCCGGGAAACUGGGGCUAAUACCGGAUAAGACCACGGGGCCUUAGGGUUCUGCGGAAAAAGGUGGCCUCUUCUUGAAAGCUAUCGCCUACGGAUGAGUCCGCGUCCCAUUAGCUUGUUGGUGAGGUAAAGGCUCACCAAGGCUCCGAUGGGUAGCUGGUCUGAGAGGAUGAUCAGCCACACUGGAACUGAGACACGGUCCAGACUCCUGCGGGAGGCAGCAGUCGGGAAUUUUGGGCAAUGGGGGAAACCCUGACCCAGCAACGCCGCGUGAGGGAUGAAGGCCCUCGGGUCGUAAACCUCUGUCAGAAGGGAAGAAAGGUCUCCGUUCGAAUAAAGCGGGGGCUUGACGGUACCUUCAAAGGAAGCACCGGCUAACUCCGUG
rnacentral:rRNA from 1 species